rnacentral:rRNA from 1 species
GUGUAAGUAUAGAGAUAUAUUUAGCUGACCAGUACUAAUAAUACGAAAGCUUUUAAU